GAGAUCCCUCAGGAGACCAUCCGCCACCUCAUCAGGAGCAUGCCCAGGCAUUGUAGGGAAGUCAUACAGGCACGUAGAGGCCACACACACUACUGAGCCUCAUUUUGACUUGUUUUAAGGACAUUACAUCAAAGUUGGAUCAGCCUGUAGUGUGGUUUUCCACUUUAAUUUUGAGUGUGACUCCAAAUCCAGACCUCCAUGGGUUGAUAAAUUGGAUUUCCAUUGAUUAUUUUUGUGUGAUUUUUGUUGUCAACACAUUCAACUAUGUAAAGAAAAAAGUAUUUAAUAAGAUUAUUUCUUUCAUUCAGAUCUAGGAUGUGUUGUUUAAGUGUUCCCUUUAUUUUUUUGAGCAGUAUGUGUAUAUAUAUAUAUUUGUAUAUAUACAGUACGAGUCAAAGUUUGGACACCUAUCAUUCAAGUGUUUUUCUUUAUUUUUACUAUUUUCUAAAUUGUAGAAUAAUAGUGAAGACAUCAGAACUAUGAAAUAACAAUGUAAAAAUAAAGAAAAACCCUUGAAUGAGUAGGUGUAUCAACUUUUGACUGGUACUGUAUAUUGACUUUUUCCACAUUUUGUUACGUUACAGCCUUCAAUUCUAAAAUUGAUUAAAUAAAAACAUUUCCUCAGCGAUCUACAGACAAUACCCCAUAAUGACAAAGCCAAAAUGAGUUUUUAGAAAUGUUUGCAAAUGUAUAAAAACUAAAUAAAUGAAAUACCUUAUUUACAUAAGUAUUCAAACCCUUUGCUAUGAGACUCAAAAUUGAGCUCAGAUGCAUCCUGUUUCCAUUGAUCAUCCUUGAGAUGUUUCUACAACUUGAUUGGAGUCCACCUGUGGUAAAUUCAAUUGAUUGGACAUGAUUUGGAAAGGCACACACCUGUCUAUAUAAGGUCCCACAGUUGACAGUGCAUGUCAGAGCAAAAACCAAGCCAUGAGGUUGAAGGAAUUGUCCGUAGAGCUUCAAACAGGAUUGUGUCGAGGCACAGAUCUGGGGAAGGGAACCAAAAAAUGUCUGCAGCAUUGAAGGUUCCCAAGAGACACAGUGGCCUCCAUCAUUCUUAAAUGGAAGAAGUUUAGAACCACCAAGACUCUUUCUAGACCUUUCCGCCCAGCCAAACUGAGGGAGGUGACCAAGAACCUGAUGGUCAUUCUGACAGAGCUCUAGAGUUCCUUUGUGGAGAUGGGAGAACCUUCCAGAAGGACAACUAUCUCUGCAGCACUCCACUAAUCAGGCCUUUAUGGUAGAGUGGCCAGACGGAAGCCACUCCUCAGUAAAAGGAACAUGACAGCCUGUUUGGAGUUAGCCAAAAGGCACCUAAGAAACACCUGAGAAACAAGAUUCUCUGGUCUGAUGAAACCAAGAUUGAACUCUUUGGCCUAAAUGCCAAGCGUCACGUCUAGAAAAAACCUGGCACCAUCCCUACGGUGAAGCAUGGUGGUGGUAGCAUCAUGCUGUGGGGAUGUUUUUCAGCGCAGGAGACGAGUCAGGAUCAAGGCAAAGAUGAGAGAUCCUUGAUGAAAACCUGCUCCAGAGCGCUCAGGACCUGACUGGGGUGAAGGUUCACCUUCCAACAGGACAAUGACCUUAAGCACACAGCCAAGACAAUGCAGGAGUGGCUUCGGGACAAGUCUCUGAAUGUCCUUGAGGCCCAGCCAGAGCCUGGACUUGAACCCGAUCGAACAUAUCUGGAGACCUGAAAAUAGCUGUGCAGCUACGCUCCCCAUCCAACCUGACAGAGCUUGAGAGGAUCUGCAGAGAAGAAUGGGAGCAACUCCUCAAAUACAGGUGUACCAAGCUUGUAGCGUCACACACAAGAAGACUCAAGGCUGUAAUCGCUGCCAAAGGUGCUUCAACAGAGUGCUGAGUAAAGGGUCUGAAUACUUAUGUAAAUGUGAUAUUUUUGAACACCUCUUUUUGCAUCAUCAUUAUGGGGUAUUGUGUGUAAAUUGAUGAGGGGAAAACUUUUUUUAUAUAUAUAUAUAUAUAUAUUAGAUCCUGAAAUGGACACAAUUCAGUCAGUAACACAUUUUGAAUAGUUUUAUUUUCCCAUAAUUGAGUGCAUUUGUAAACAACCAUACAAACACUGCCUUUUUUAUUUCGUAAUUAAAACAAACUAUCGUUACAUUUUUUUUUACAAGCACGCAUAUUGAAGUUGGAACAUUGGAACUCUCCCUGGCUCAGUGUUUUAAUGUGUUUCUGAAAAUAACAAGACUGAAAGUAAGAACUCACCCAACUCAGCAACAUAGAAAUGUGUACAGCAAUAUAUAAUUUAACAAUGACUCGUUGGCAGAACAGUUCUCUUGCAGAGGACAUUUUAUUCUCAUUGGACUAGCCUACUUCAAGAUCAAACUGAAGGUCAAAUAAAAAAUACUCAGUCACCAUUUGAAGGAAUUCACCAUUCAGAGAAAUGUUUGGGGUUGUUUUUAUACCACUGAAAGACUGAAGUAGUCUACUGUAUCUCCUCUUCCUUCUCACCAGAGGGACAUAUGAGUUUAAAGAUAUCUAUUCAGAUCCAGGUCAUCAACGAUCCUAGUUAAAUAACAAUGCCUAGUUAAAUACAGGUAAAACAACAACAAUGGCAUCGUUCAGGUCUAAUUACUCUGUCACUACAAUGAACUAAUGAUUGGGGGAGGGGGCGGUAAUCAUUUGCUAAUUAUUGACAGUGGGAAAGUAUUAAUUGUAUGAUGUCUCAAUAGAUCGAAAAUGAGUACAAAUUGUGGAGAGGCAAACUUUCUGUUGUAUACCAUCCUGUGUCUUUUGCAGGGGGAGUAUACAGUAUAUUCAACAGCCAAUUAUAGCUCUAGUAAGAGUCAGUAAACUCCAGACCGACAGACUUUUUGAAAAUGUUUUUUUAGGCGUGUUUGGCAUGCAGUUCAGUCAUGGGCAAAAUCGCCUUUGACAUUUGAAAGACUUUUUGAUUGAUAUUGACAUAUCAAAGCAGAGAAACUGCCAUGUUCUGCAGAGGUUGUAAAAACACUGACUGCAUUUUAAAGGCAAAACACAAAAUUAGCUACAAAACAUCUGUUUAGGUCUAUGCAUGCAGUCUUCAAUUUAGUCAAAACAUCAUGAUUUAACAAAUGUAAUUCCAAUUUACCAAACCUUCUCAAAUGUCAAAAAUAAACAAUUUGGGAGAAUGUUAGACGAAUGCUGCUUUUAAUCCAAGGUUAUUCUAGCAUGCUAGGCAAUAGAUGCCUGAAUGUCCAGCUUCAAGAUCCAUAUGGUCUCUGCCUGUUUGGGAAUGCUUGUGUGGAUCCAAAAGAAACCCUAUCAAAACCCUGGUCACAUGUGAGUUAUAGGGAUCCAUAACCCUCGUGACAGGUGAGUUAUAGGGCUGCAUAACCCUCGUGACAGGUGAGUUAUAGGGAUCCAUAACCCUCGUGACAGGUGAGUUAUAGGGAUCCAUAACCCUCGUGACAGGUGAGUUAUAGGGAUCCAUAAGCCUUGUGACAGGUGAGUUAUAGGGAUCCAUAACCCUCGUGACAGGUGAGUUAUAGGGAUCCAUAACCCUCGUGACAGGUGAGUUAUAGGGCUGCAUAACCCUCGUGACAGGUGAGUUAUAGGGCUGCAUAACCCUCGUGACAGGUGAGUUAUAGGGCUGCAUAACCCUUGUGACAGGUGAGUUAUAGGGAUCCAUAAGCCUCGUGACAGGUGAGUUAUAGGGCUGCAUACUGAAUUCUGAGGGCAUGUUCCAUAUCUCUACCUCGAGGUGACAAGACACACACUUUGUUUUAGCAAUCAUACACACACGCACACACAUCCCUCUGUGUCUCCCGGUUCUCUCUCCAGACAUCUCAGUCGAUCCCAGGGGAGAGCAAUCCGUCACCGAGCUACUUUCUUUUGAAAGAGGAAAACAUCUCCAAUUGAACGCUGGAUUCAGGCUUCUUUGUGUCAACCCCAUCAUAUUGUAGGCCUCUUGAAACUGAUCACAGUCAAUAUACAGUAUCAAUGGUCAAUUGAUUGAUUAUAAAUGUGUGUUAUAUGUAUUGAGCUGCAGAUUAUCAGUUUGUCUAUUUGUCAAUGGAAAGGCCAAAUCAGAAUCAUAAAAAAAGCCUAAGCCAUCAUGUUAAGAAGGCCGUCAUGUUAAGAAGGCCAUCAUGUUAAGAAGGCCAUCAUGUUAAGAAGGCCAUCAUGUUAAGAAGGCCAUCAUGUUAAGAAGGCCGUCAUGUUAAGAAGGCCGUCAUGUUAAGAAGGCCGUCAUGUUAAGAAGGCCGUCAUAUUAAGAAGGCCAUCAUGUUAAGAAGGCCGUCAUGUUAAGAAGGCCGUCAUGUUAAGAAGGCCGUCAUGUUAAGAAGGCCGUCAUGUUAAGAAGGCCAUCAUGUUAAGAAGGCCAUCAUGUUAAGAAGGCCGUCAUGUUAAGAAGGCCAUCAUGUUAAGAAGGCCAUCAUGUUAAGAAGGCCAUCAUGUUAAGAAGGCCGUCAUGUUAAGAAGGCCAUCAUGUUAAGAAGGCCAUCAUGUUAAGAAGGCUGUCACGAGGCUUACAAGGCAUGGUUCAUGACUCCAGUCUUUAGUAUCUUUACGAUUUUAGUAGACAGAAACCCACGUCUGCAGCGCGCUAACAAUUCAGUGCCUCAGAGCGUCUAAAAAAUAGGUUACCCUUUUCAAAUGUGAAUUUGUAGUUCUUUUGGACAGUGAAGCGAGAUGAAAAGCAGCAGUAGUAGGUGUUGUUUCGCUGUCAUCUCGCCCAGCUAACCUACUUCCUGGGACUCUUCAAGCUCCCUGUAGUCUCUUCAUCAGCAGGAACACAAAAAUACAUUUUUGUCACAACAGACAACUUUGUCUUGCCAGAAACUCAUGAAUAUUCAUCUACAAAUGAAGACUUCUGAAAGGUGUCGCAAACAGAAAACGUCCUGAUGAAGCCUCUGGGGACAUGGAGGAAAUGGGUAGAACUUUCAGAAGGUGAUCCACCCUGUUAAACUUGUAUGGAUACCAGUCUGUUUCUGUGCUCUUGCCAACUCCUUGUGGAAUUGUCACGACAGCAAUGGAGUUGCGAAAAGCA
rnacentral:lncRNA from 1 species